GCUGAAUCUUGUUCGAAAGCAGCGCCAUUUAAGUCUACAUUUCCGACUGGUCUUCUUCCAGUAACAUUUUGUCGAAUUUAAGUCAGUCCUGACUCGUUUUGCUAUAUAGUUUGGACUGGUAACAAAAAAAUUUCUUGCUAACAAGAUGAUGCUGACUAUGUAAUAUGCUACUCACACUGACGACCAUCCACCAUCCAUUUCGGCGAUGGUCCGUAAGGUUUUGCAGUUCCGAAUAUUUCCCAGUUAGUCCAACAUGCAUUUUGGAUGUUCCGAUGAUUUUCAAAUGAAACCCUAAAAAACAAUGAAUGUCAAUAAAAACUAGUUCGCGCCUAGACAUAUUUCAAAUCUUAAUUCGAAUUUUAAAUCCUUGACGACUAAAAUAUGAAAAAUACAACAGACAAAAUACGAAAUGGAGAGAUCUGAAAUUUGUCGUAAUAAGUAAACAACUAUAUACUAUAUACAAAUCCAUUAAAAAUACAAACAAUACACGCAAGUCGAAAUGGACUGCAUAUAUUGAGAAUCUCUCUUAAACAUUUGGCAUGAUAGUACUGCGGAUUUGCGGGGGUCCCGAAAUAAUUCCGUUAACGUCGACCGCGACAGAUUCAACUACGGCUCUAAUAUUACUUCUGAAACCAAGGCUCCGCAUCAAUGCGGAUUAACUGGUAAAUCUUCUGGAGAUUGUUCGGAAAAUGCUUAAAGUCCAGAAGAAGCAUGAGGAUGAGAACCAGGAAACCAAGAGAGAGAUACUCCAGCAAAUUACGAGCAGCCAAUUUUUAAGGGAGUCCAAAGAGUAACAUUUAUUGCAUUGUAUUGUGCAUAUAUGGAUUGUAUUAUUAUAGUCUGUAAUAAUUGUGAAAAUUUCACAAUUCAGACCAAAACUUUGUAAUUUCAUGCUCAUCAGCUGCUUUUUGUCGGAUUGUCAAAAAAUUUCACCGUUCCCCCGUGAUAUGCUAAUAGGCUUUGCACACUGAGCCCAUCCCGGGGGAAUGGUGUGAUCUUUUGACAGAUGUGAAACUCCGAUUCACACUGGCACCAUCCACCAUCCGUCAAAAACAGCUAAUGCCAAAAACAAGUGCAUUAAAUUUGCGCGGAAGAUUUAUUAAUUUUUGGUUCUUAUAAUGGAUGGCCGUGUUUCAACAGCAAAAUAUUUGCGAACAGCCCGAUAGCAGCAACAGUUCUGGUGAUUUUACUCAGUCAGCAGAACAGAUACGAUCUGCAAUCGCAAAAUAUUGUUUAGACCAUAUUGUUUUGGGUCGCUUUGGCGGGGCCGUUUGUUGCCAGAAAUGGUGCUGGAGCUACAUGAUCCGUCCAGAUUCGACUCGAUAAUGUUCGAAAAAAAACUCAUUAUUAAAGAAUAAAUUAUGCAUAACAAAGCAAUUACAGAGCAUACAAAUAUUUGUUCUAUGUUGGCAGUCGUCUGCCAUUUAUUCGCCACACACUUGCAACUUCAGCCUGGCAGACUCGGCCAUGCCGCAUUCAAUCUCAUCGCCAGCCUUGAAUGCAUCCGAGCCAUUGGGCAUGAUUGUUGUUGUUUUUUGUUUAUUUUGUCACAAUCAUUGUUUACGUUUUCGCAGUGAAUACCAUUUUUUCGAUGUGAGUGACAAUUAUUCAGAGUUGCAUUUGAAAACCAUCCAAAAUGGAUGUUGGACUAACUGGGAAAUUUUACUGACCAUCCCCGAAAUGGAUGGUGGAUGGUCAUCAGUGUGAAUACCCUAUAAGUGUGCAGAGCCUAUUAAUAUAUGAUACACAAAUUUGAGCAAAUUGGAUGAAACGUCACUGACAAUCCAUUUCCUACAUUCCCACUUGGACUUUUUUCCACCAAACUGUACCUGACGUUAGUAAUGGAACAACGGGAUCAAGGUGUUUGGGAUCAUAAUAGGCAAGGAACACCAGCCACGCCACAAUUUAAAAUGAAUUUAAUGAAAAUUGGAAUGCAAUUGUACCAAUCACAGAUGUUAUUAGUUCUACCCGUAAAAUUACAGCAGACAACAAUUCUUUCAAAGGCUCAAUACUAGACCUCAGAACUUGCAUAUUUUUAAAGGAUUAAGACAGAAAAAUUCUGAUGACGCUAAAGUUCGUUUUAUGAAAAGUAGAUUUGAAAACGAUCUGCAUAUUUUCAUUUUUGUUUGCAUAUUUUCAUAAAAUGCAUAUGCAUAAUAUAAGCCAAA